rnacentral:rRNA from 1 species
AUUGAACGCUGGCGGCAGGCCUAACACAUGCAAGUCGAACGAGUGGCGGACGGGUGAGUAAUGUCUGGGAAACUGCCUGAUGGAGGGGGAUAACUACUGGAAACGGUAGCUAAUACCGCAUACCAUCGGAGGUGCCCAGAUGGGAUUAGACAGUAGGUGGGGUAACGGCUCACCUAGGCGACGAUCCCUAGCUGGUCUGAGAGGAUGACCAGCCACACUGGAACUGUGACGCGGUCCAGACUCCUACGGUAGGCAGCAGUGGGGAAUAUUGCACAAUGGGCGCAAGCCUGAUGCAGCCAUGCCGCUUGUAUGAGGAAGGCCUUCGGGUUGUAGAGUACUUUCAGCGGGGAGGCGUUACCCGCAGAAGAAGCACCGGCUAACUUCGUGCCAGCAGCCGCGGUAAUAC